rnacentral:rRNA from 1 species
GAUGAACGCUGGCGGCGUGCCUAACACAUGCAAGUCGAGCGGAAAGACGAGGCGCUUUCCCGCUUGACGUUCGCGGCGCGGGGGUGUGUAACAUGUGGAUAACACACCUCGAUGGCUGGGAUAAACUCGGGAAACCGGUGGCAAAUCCCGCAUAUCUACUCAAGCGCAAGGUUGAAUAGCGAAAGGCGGCUUUGCUGUCACUUAUAGAUGGUUCCUUGCCGCAUUAGCUAGUUGGAAAGGUAACGGCUUACCAAGGCAACGAUGCGUAGCCGACCUGAGAGGGUGACCGGCCACACUGGAACUGAGACACGGUCCAGACUCCUACGGGAGGCAGCAGUGGGGAAUCUUCCGCAAUGGGCGCAAGCCUGAUGCAGCAACGCCGCGUGUGUGAUGAAGGUCUUCGGAUCGUAAAGCUCUGUUAUUGGGGAAGAACAAAUUUGUAUGUAACCAUGCACGUCUUGACGUUACCUGAUCAGAAAGCCCCGGCUAACUACGUG